CACAAAUAUGUGCUGCUGGUAUUUGUCCUGGUGGACAUGGCUUCUAGGCCUGUCCUCUCUCCCUCCUCUAGGUCUACCCAGACUCCGUUUCCACCCAUGCACAGAUCUGAGAUCACUGGAGUAUUUUCACAGGCAAUGAUGGUCGGGUAAGGCAGUGUUGCAGAGGCAUUUGGGCCUCCUCUGCAACAGGGCAUGAUACAGGUAUAGAAAGCCCCUUUUCUCUUCACAUGCCUCUCAUUAUGAAAAGGAUGAUGAAAAAAACAGAAGUUUGACCUUGCUCCUGCAGGGGAUUCAGCCAGCAAUGAACCCUUCUUCACUAUUCCUGGUGUUCUGUUGUUUCCCCUGGGAUUCUGCAUUGAAGCAGAGGGAGCUAUGGAUCUGCUGAGCUGAUUUUUUUCAAAGCUGACAUAUUUUUAGGUCUUACUGAAACUUCAAAUCAAGUCAAGUCUGAAGACCGAAUAUAAUGGAAUGUAACUUAAGACUCUGUCUUGCAAAAGACCAGAGUUCCUGGCUGCUUUGAUGAUUCUACGAGUGAGCUCAGGAUCAAGAUCCACAUUGUACAAUGGAUAUGCUGCUCUCUGCACUUUUCCUGCAGUUGUCUUACAGAGAAGACCAUAUCUAUGGUGGACCUUUCCAAGCAGAAGCCAAACUGGAUCUCAGGAUCGAUUCUCUCAGUUAAUGUUUAAAGUCCAGAGUUGGAUGAAACAAGCAUCCUUGAAGCCUUGCAGAACAGUUUCUUCCUUCCAACAGAGUAGCAAUACCUCAUGCAAUCUUUGCAGCAAGUCUUUGUUUUGAGCAUUUGUUAAUUUCAGCAGGUAUAAAAUACUGUGAAGAUAAACUUCAAAGGUUCACAACGACUCUCUCAUUUUCUCCAAGGGAAUUUAUGAACACCAUGAUAAUGUGCAAGUGUUAGAUAAGAAAAAAAGUAGACUACACUAAGCUAUUGUGCUUGUAUUUUUUUUCUUUAAUAUCAUACACUUGAAUAAUUUUACAGAAGAAGACAAACUUCUUUCAACUACACAGGGUUUCAAAGAGAUGGUUGGAAAUGUUUAACAGGAGAAACUACUUAUGAGCUAGUCUUACGAUAUUGUAUCACAGUCUUGUUGAACCAUAAGAAAGUUAAAUAGAAGAAAAUGCAUUUAUAACCUCCAAUAAUAAUAAUAACAAUAUCAACAACAACAAUAAUGUUAUGCUGUUUGCUGAGUAUGAUAUGCAUUUCUGAUUUAGUUAGUCUACAAGGUGCACAUAUACCCUGCGUUCUGCCUGAUGUGGUAUGUGGCAUGACCUUGGAGCAUGAAGGAUGUCACUGGAGAAGGAUUACACACAAAUAUUAAGCUACCCAGAGAAAGACAGAUUCCCAUUUUGUGUUCGAUUGUUUGAGUUCUGCAAAGUACUGCGCCGUCUGAGGCAAUGCUGUACCUUUACAAAAGGUGUUUUUAGUCCUUGCUUGAAUGUCUGCCAAGAGUUUACCUGUAAGAAGAAAUGGGAGGUCUCCUGUGACUAUGUAGUUCAUGUCCAUUAAAGAGCGAACGGAUUUGUUCCAACCUUUUCUAGGUACAUUUUAAAUUUCAUGAGUCCCCUUUGACAUUUAAAAUACUGUUUCCAGACCAUCCCCUGUUCCACAUAUAUUCUCAAUUUGACAGUUAUGCCUGGCCAGUAUAUAUUCACUCUGCUUCGGUGGCAGUCUACAGGUUUGAUGCUUAUAUCCAUUUUGACAUGUGAGCUCUUAAAUCUGCAUUCCCUGCACCUCAGAGAGAAGAUAAAGGUAACAUAUUGAUAGGCUACUUCCUGUUCCACAUAGCUAUCCAUCUUGUGCUUUGGAAAGUAUGCCUUGCUCUGUAUGUAAGCCAAAAGUAGAGAGUACUUUAUCUUCAUCUCAAAGUGGUGGCACUCAGUUAACGAAGGUUCACAUUUAGCUGAAUGGCUUGUCUAACCUCAUAUGAAUGGAUAUUUUUGUCUUGGUUAAAUUUGAUAGGGCAGUUUGGGUCUAUGCAGAUCAUCAGAUUACCAGGAGUUUUUCUCAUCUCUUUUGAGGAUGUUGAUCCAAUUUGUGCUAGUUUAAAUACGUGUAAUAACACUUCUUCCUUGCAGGUUUGCCAGUUUGUACUUUAGUAACUCUGCCACAGCUCAUUGGAACUUUGCCUUUUUGGGCUACGCAUGUGGAUCUCUUCAACUAGCCUGCUGGGUGGCUUUCUUGAAAUAUAUUAUGAGUGUUUGCUAGACAGAACUCAUAACGGCUGUCCUCGCUCCUCUAUCAUGUUGUGCAUAUCCAGGUGAUGUACCGUGAUUAAAUUCAUGGCUUGUACUUCACUGCUACUCAGAAGUGGU